AGAUUAUUCAUGAUCCAAUAAGUAAGCUGCGAGCAGCCUCAUUUCCUCCACUCUUUGGUGGAGGAAGUCAUCAGCCAAGGCAUUAGGAACUAGAUCUGAGGAGGUUUGGAAGUGCAGAGUGAAACCAAGUGGGUUUUCUGACCAGAGGGGAGCAACACAGUGCACAGGGAACCAUCUGAAGUGAGGUCUCACUCCAGAGAGCUGUGGGAGGCCCCUCUUGGGUGAGACAACCUGUUCUCAUGUCACUGUAGUGCACUGUACUGCCUCUGCUGUGGUCCAAAAUUUAUGGCAAUACACUGGGCUGUAUGAACAUGUUCCAUGUUCUUUGAAGUAUGUCAGAACAGAGAGAGGAGAGUAAGGAGAAUAUCAUUGUCUGGAUUCCUUCGGGCGGCACAGACGUACCAUGCGGUAUUUCGCUGGAAUGAACAUCACGUCUUCCACUGCUGCGUAGGAGCAUAA